GAAACAUAAGUGGCAUCACUGAGUUUUGAAAGAAUUUCGGUGGAGGAUGACUUCGCGGCCUAUCAGCUAGUUGGUGAGGUAAUGGCUCACCAAGGCAACGACGGGUAGCCGGCCUGAGAGGGCGACCGGCCACACUGGGACUGAGACACGGCCCAGACUCCUACGGGAGGCAGCAGUGGGGAAUAUUGGGCAAUGGAGGAAACUCUGACCCAGCGACGCCGCGUGCGGGAUGAAGGCCUUCGGGUUGUAAACCGCUUUCAGUAGGGAAGAAGCGAAAGUGACGGUACCUACAAAAGAAGCACCGGCUAACUAUGUGCCAGCAGCCGCGGUAAUACAUAGGGUGCAAGCGUUGUCCGGAAUUAUUGGGCGUAAAGAGCUCGUAGGUCGUUUGUUACGUCGGAUGUGAAAACCUGAGGCUCAACCUCAGGCCUGCAUUCGAUACGGGCAAACUAGAGUUUGGUAGGGGAGACUGGAAUUCCUGGUGUAGCGGUGGAAUGCGCAGAUAUCAGGAGGAACACCAAUGGCGAAGGCAGGUCCCUGGGCCAAUACUGACACUGAGGAGCGAAAGUCUGGGGAGCGAACAGGAUUAGAUACCCUGGUAGUCCAGACCGUAAACGGUGGGCACUAGUUGUGGGAACCUUCCACGGUUUCUGCGACGCAGCUAACGCAUUAAGUGCCCCGCCUGGGGAGUACGAUCGCAAGAUUAAAACUCAAAGGAAUUGACGGGGCCCCGCACAAGCAGCGGAGCAUGC
rnacentral:rRNA from 1 species